rnacentral:rRNA from 1 species
GACGAACGCUGGCGGCGUGCUUAACACAUGCAAGUCGAACGGAAAGGCCCUGCUUUUGUGGGGUGCUCGAGUGGCGAACGGGUGAGUAACACGUGAGUAACCUGCCCUUGACUUUGGGAUAACUUCAGGAAACUGGGGCUCAUACCGGAUAGGAGCUCCUGCUGCAUGGUGGGGGUUGGAAAGUUUCGGCGGUUGGGGAUGGACUCGCGGCUUAUCAGCUUGUUGGUGGGGUAGUGGCUUACCAAGGCUUUGACGGGUAGCCGGCCUGAGAGGGUGACCGGCCACAAUGGGACUGAGAGACGGACCAGACGCCUACGGGAGGCAGCAGUGGGGAAUAUUGCACAAUGGGCGGAAGCCUGAUGCAGCAACGCCGCGUGCGGGAUGACGGCCUUCGGGUUGUAAACCGCUUUCGCCUGUGACGAAGCGUGAGUGACGGUAAUGGGUAAAGAAGCACCGGCUAACUACGUG